CUUUCGGUCGGUCGGUUUUACGAGGUGGUGCAUGGUUGUCGUCAGCUCGUGUCGUGAGAUGUUGGGUUAAGUCCCGCAACGAGCGCAACCCUCGUUCUAUGUUGCCAGCGCGUUAUGGCGGGGACUCAUAGGAGACUGCCGGGGUCAACUCGGAGAAGGUGGGGACGACGUCAAAUCAUCAUGCCCCUUAUGUCUUGGGCUUCACGCAUGCUACAAUGGCCGGUACAAAGGGCUGCGAUACCGCGAGGUGGAGCGAAUCCCAGAAAGCCGGUCUCAGUUCGGAUUGGGGUCUGCAACUCGACCCCAUGAAGUCGGAGUCGCUAGUAAUCGCAGAUCAGCAACGCUGCGGUCGAAUACGUUCCCGGGCCUU
rnacentral:rRNA from 1 species